rnacentral:rRNA from 1 species
AAUACCACCCUUUAAUGUUUGAUGUUCUAACGUUGACCCGUAAUCCGGGUUGCGGACAGUGUCUGGUGGGUAGUUUGACUGGGGCGGUCUCCUCCUAAAGAGUAACGGAGGAGCACGAAGGUUGGCUAAUCCUGGUCGGACAUCAGGAGGUUAGUGCAAUGGCAUAAGCCAGCUUGACUGCGAGCGUGACGGCGCGAGCAGGUGCGAAAGCAGGUCAUAGUGAUCCGGUGGUUCUGAAUGGAAGGGCCAUCGCUCAACGGAUAAAAGGUACUCCGGGGAUAACAGGCUGAUACCGCCCAAGAGUUCAUAUCGACGGCGGUGUUUGGCACCUCGAUGUCGGCUCAUCACAUCCUGGGGCUGAAGUAGGUCCCAAGGGUAUGGCUGUUCGCCAUUUAAAGUGGUACGCGAGCUGGGUUUAGAACGUCGUGAGACAGUUCGGUCCCUAUCUGCC